GACGCCGUGGCUUGGUUGGUCAAAGUGACUGUCUCAUGAACAGGAGAUCCCGUGUUCAAAUCCAAGUGGUGCCU